GCCACCGGGAGUUCGUGGGUCGUUGGUCGUGGCUGCUGCGGCUGUGAAGGACCACGGAUUGGCCGCUGCUCGUGGCACUCCUCGUUAACACUGCCACUGCCUGUCUACUAAAGGAAUGAGAUCAAACGUGAACAAAAGAACCAGCCCUUUUCUCUGUAGUUCUGUGCGCUGAAGGGACGGCGACAAGUGAAAAACAUGGCGACCGAAGAACGUUCGGAAUAAACGUUUUAGUCGUCGUCGUCGGUCACGGAACCGUGGUGUGGUGUGCGCGUGUCGCCGCGAAUUGUCGUCGAUAGCCGCACGCACGACGGACGCCAUAGGUCGUCAGCUGUGUGUGCCGUGUGUCCAACGUGCAACAAAGUAUAAGUGCAGCACAGCGGCCCCUCCAACGUGUUCCACACCGUCUCACCGUUAUUAGUCGGCAGUAGCGUCCAAGAGAAACACCAACAUCGCGGCUCAAUCUGAUGCCAGCGUUAAUAGUAUCUUUCGCUCGCUAGCGAAAUUAGUAACAAAGAUGAAAACCUUAUCGCUGCUUUGGCCACAGCCAACGGUGGGGUUUGUCCUGUAUGUGUGUUCCUAGUGUGUAAGUGCGUGGUUCAGUUGGUUGACCGGUGCAAGGAGUGAAAAAUCGAUAAGCGAAAGUGCAGUGCGUGAAAGAAAAUGUUCAGUUCCAACUUCGCUACCGCAAAGCUGGCUCUUCCCAUUAUCCUGUAGUGUGCGUAUAGCUGCAGCAGCAUCCUUGCCGCAGAGCCUGCUCCCUCUGUAAACAAGUGCCAAAAUCCCAAAAAAUUAGACAAAUUAGUAGACAACGCGAGGAGGAGAGAGAGAGAGAACACGAGAGAUGAGUUCCUUGUUCGCCACUUUUGACUGCGAACAGACGACGACAUCCUAGCAUGCGGUAGAUGCAAUCGAUACUAGCGAUAGCAGCGCGAGAGAAGCCAGAAUUCAUCUGGUAACCGGUCGCCAGACGCAGCAUCAACUAGCACCUGCGACCCCUCGCAAGUCGCAACAACGACGACAAGAUGAAUCCCGACCGGAACAGCCGGAAGUAUCGCUCCGGAAACAAUCUGUACAGCGAUGAUGAGCUGGAAUUAUCAUCGUCCCAGGUACUGGAGAAGGUGAAACCGGACCGUGUUACUUCCACGAAACCGGAUGAGGAUCGACGGCGCCGUACGAUCAUCGUGGAGAAGAAGAAUGGCUCGUACGGAUUCACGCUCCAGAGCUACGGCAUCCACUACCGGAAGGAGCAGGAGGUGGAGGUGAUCACGUACGUCGAUUACGUGGAGUACGAUGGGCCCGCGUACCGGGCCGGGAUGCGCGAGGGCGACGUCAUUCUAUCGAUCAAUGGCUACGAUAUGGAGAAAACCGAACACAAGGAUCUGGUUAACUUCAUCAAAAACUGUGAUAAUCGGAUGCGAAUGGUGGUGCUGUUUGAGGAUUGCUGCCGUAAGGUGGAGCUACAUCUGAAGUACAUCCAGCUGCAGGAUCUGCUCAAGUGCAAGAUGGCCGACUUGGAGCGUGUUUGUCUGCGGGAACGGGAGCUGCUCGAGGGCAAAUGGAAAACGCACAGUCUGCCGGCUCGGAAGAAGGCCACGGUGAGUGCGGCCGAUGGCGACGCCGAUCCGGGCUCGACGACUGAUGUCGAGAGUGGACCGUCGGGGCCAUCCUUCUGCCGACCGGCUGCCUCGACCGAGGACGUCAAGAAGCUGCUACGCCAAAAGACGUACAUCGUCCCGCCGCCGGCACAGUUCAUGUUGGCCUAUCAUUGCCUGGAUAGCAACUAUCGCUACGUCAUUCAUCCGUCACAGUCACAGCCGGCCUGUGAGGGAGACACCGAGUAUACCGGAACGCACCAGAACACCACCGGUAAGCUGUGUAAGGAUCACGCCCAGCAUAUGAUGCGUGGUGCAUCGCUUGAUAGCAGUAACAUUGGGAGUGGUGGCUGCAAGCAGCAGACCCGUGGUGACUCGGGAGCAUCACCGACGAAGAGUCUUCACAACUACGACACCAAGGGUAGCUCCAAAGGAGGGGGUUCAGGUGGGCGAAGGAACCAUCUACAUGGCCAUUCGUGUAAUCCCUGCAUCGGGCACUUCCUGCGUGGUGGUAGUAGUGAGAAGCAUCGUGGUGGCGGGGCCACCGACAAGGACAAUACCAGCUUGGAUGCGUACGAUCUGGCCAGCCCGUGCUGCGAUUCGCAUUGUGUGCCGUCGCGCCGCAAGUCCAAGCACCACAAAGACCAUCAUCAUCACAAGCACAAACACCGGGACCGGGAUCGGGAGUCAAGAGAUGGUGAUCGUAAGGGUAAUGAUCGCAUCCCGCGUCCCAAGUCACAGCCACACAUUUCACCGCAGUCACAGCCAAACUAUCUUUAUCGCCAUAAAGACAAGCACGAUCACCACCAUACGAAGGUGUACGACCUGAACGCUAGUCUCGCCAGCCACUGUAGUCUGCAUUCGUGCACCUCGAGCGAGUUCAACGCGACGGCCACAUCGGCGGCCGAAAAUCCUUCGCCUGCCUCAUACAGCACCUCGAUCAGUACCGAUACGCUGUACUGGGAACCGCACAGUGAGUCAACGACGGCCUCUUCCGGUGGCUCGUUGCACAAGAAGCCACCGGCGGGCAGUGGGUCCGGUGGGGGCGGAGUCGUUGGUAGCACACUGGGCCGUCCAGCGCACACCCAUCAGCAUCACUACUAUAUCCAGAAGUAUGUCCACCCCCAACAUCAUCCGGGGGCUGCCGGUACUCAGCACCCCCAGCAGCAGCAGCAGCAGCAACAGCAGCAGCUGGCCAUCUAUCCGAUCGCUCCGUUGGCCGCAGCGGUGCACAAACCCAAAUCCUGGGACAAUCUCGCUAUGAAAGGGUACGGUGGGUACGGGUAUGGUUACGGAUACAUAGAGGUACCGACGAAACCGACGGCCACUGGCCAUCAGCUGGCACCGACUCAAACGCGCACCCAGACAACGAUCACCAUCCAGCACCGGAACUCGAUCCCGAAGAAGAACGGUUACGAGCGCUAUUCGGCCGCCUUCGUCGAUGUGGAGAACUAUGCCCCACCACCGACCCAGUUUCUGCAUGAAACGCUUACCACGACCACGACGACGAUCACAACGAAAUCGACCGAGAAUCUGCUGGCGGCCGCAUACAAUCGUUCCGAUUCGAGUCUGGGACAGUGCGAGUGCCACGAGACGGUACCGCUCGUACCGGCGAGUGGUGCGACAGCCAGUAUCUGUGGUGGCUGUUCUGCCGGUGGAGGUCAGCCAAAUGCAUCCGGCGUGGGCGGAGGUGGUACGGUUGAGCUGAUACACGAUAAGUCUGGAUAUUACUCGAGCCUAGGACACGGCGCUGCUAGAGAUGGUGGAAAGAAAUCCAUCUCCAAUCUGACGGAAAUUGCGCGACUGUAGAGUGCAGGUGCGGUGCGGCCAAUGGUCAUUUUAGUUCCGAGGUAUUCGAAGGAUCCUUUUGUAGGAGAUUUAGCAGCACAGGUUAGAGUCAGACUAGAUGCGCAGAGCCAUUCGCAGUAAGCUUAUCCUCUCUUCACGAUGAUAGAUCAAGAUGGCCAUGGCCAUGUUCCCUCCAUAGAGCGCAGGCUUUUUAGUGGUUUUGAAGAAUGUUGAUCGACGGUGCGUUGCCGUGGCCAACCACAGUAUAUAGUGACUGCAAGUGAGUCUCUCCUGCCCGAAUCGCUUUUGGGGGCCAUUAUUAGGUAAAUGAUCUCAGCUGCAUACUUUGAUAUUCCUAACAACGUACGCGAAUGCUCACACCCAACCAACCAGUAGAAUGCUCAGAGAAGGAAGGGUUUAGGAAACAUGUGCAUGGCAUGGUGUAUGUGUGUAUGUGUGUGUGUCUGUGUGCUUCCAGCGAUUUACUACAACUUCCACUAACCACUAAAAUCCAACACAUUCCAGAAUAGAAUAGGAAACCAGCGCGCGGUUCCUUCCCAGUUAAUGAGUAGUCAAAACAGACAGCAGCCAAAGGCCUGAAAAAGAUUCCCCAACAGCACCAGUAAGAAAAUAUUGCUCAUCGAUACCCGGCAGCAUGAUACGCCAGGUCAAAAUCUACUACAGGCGAGACAGUGGAGCAGUGGAUGAGAUGCGAAGUAAGGUGAUUGUAAAUCCAACUGCCGAAACCCGAGUUGCAUGCUAAUGGCUCGCAGAGUCCAAAAGGGUGCGCGAUUGUCACAAAUCCGUCGUCAAGAAAGCUUUUCAAUCUGAGGCAAAAUGUAAAUUGGAAUGAGAUUAUACUGGAGAAAUACAUACUUUCAGCGGAAGAGAGAGAGUGUCUCAGUGUUUCCGUUUUCGCAGCAGAGCUGGUUACCAUGCAAGCUACGAUCCACGACAUGAAAAAGAUGAGAUGUGAAGAAACAACGCAGUAGCCAUCAUCAGAGAACGGUUGGUUACAAGCUCUUCCUGAGAAAAGACGAGUCACAUUUAUAGUAGGAGAAAUGGAAUGUAGUUUUUUCGAAAAUUCCGAUUGGCAGAUAAACUGCUCCUCUACCACCACACAAUUGACCGAAGCAUUC